rnacentral:rRNA from 1 species
UGGGGAAUAUUGCACAAUGGGCGCAAGCCUGAUGCAGCCAUGCCGCGUGUGUGAAGAAGGCCUUCGGGUUGUAAAGCACUUUCAGCGAGGAGGAAGGUGGUGGACUUAAUACGUUCAUCAAUUGACGUUACUCGCAGAAGAAGCACCGGCUAACUCCGUGCCAGCAGCCGCGGUAAUACGGAGGGUGCAAGCGUUAAUCGGAAUUACUGGGCGUAAAGCGCACGCAGGCGGUUUGUUAAGUCAGAUGUGAAAUCCCCGGGCUCAACCUGGGAACUGCAUUUGAAACUGGCAAGCUAGAGUCUCGUAGAGGGGGGUAGAAUUCCAGGUGUAGCGGUGAAAUGCGUAGAGAUCUGGAGGAAUACCGGUGGCGAAGGCGGCCCCCUGGACGAAGACUGACGCUCAGGCUGCGAAAGCGUGGGGAGCAAAACAGGAUUAGAUACCCUGGUAGUCCACGCUGUAAACGAUGUCGAUUUGGAGGUUGUG